UGUCCAAAGACGAAAACUGGGGACUUUUGUGGCGUUCACACAGCGUUGUCCAAGCUGCAGUUACCUCAGACAAUGGGAGAGCCAGCCCGUCGUCGGAAGUACCCCGGUUGGCAACUUACAAUUAUCCGCUGCUACAUACUUCAGUGGUGGUUCCUUCUUCCAACUACAAAAGAUAUGCAGAGCCAUGCAGCUGGAGAUCUUCCAGUAUGAGACCUUCAGGAGGCAUGCUAGGAAUUACCUGGAGCCUGCUAUUAUCCACAAGUGGAAGACUGAUCAGCUGAAGAUUUUCCAGCAACUACACCACCAGGGGGGAAAUGUCACAGUUGCAGGAGAUAUGAGAGCAGACUCUCCAGGGCACUCAGCGAAGUUCGGAAGCUACACACUCAUG